rnacentral:hammerhead_ribozyme from 1 species
AUCCAGCUGACGAGUUCCAAAUAGGACGAGGUGACGCACGUCCUGGAU